UUCCUCUAAGUGUGGACCCCUUGCUGUGC
rnacentral:piRNA from 1 species